rnacentral:lncRNA from 1 species
CUCCUUUUCCAUAUUCAGUGAAAGUGUCGUUUCCUUCGUUAAACGAUUGUCCAUAAUUCGUAAACGACGCAGCACCGGCUUUCGAUUUUGCACCGUAGCUUUGAAACGAAUCAUCACCGACGUUAGCGCGGUUCCGGUAACUUACAAAAGUAUCGGAACCGGAAACGGAACCGGUACCGUAAGCUUUGAAACUGCUCUUUGGAUUAUUACCGUUGAAACUGUACGCUUUGAAAGAAUCGUUUGCACCUCCUGUUCCUAAUUCACCGUAACCGGUGAAUGUUGAUUGAAGAAUGUUGGAACUAACUGCAUAAUUGAUGAAAUCGCUGUUACCGCUACGAACGCGUUUUCCGUAGCUGUUGAAUGAUUGAGAUCCAGAAUUUGUAUCGUUACCGUAGCUUGAGAAUGAUAAUUUGUGAUUGUUAGCGCCGGAGUCGUAGGUGGUGAAACCGAGAUUCGGGACAUUGACGAGUUUAUCGUAGCUUUUGAAGUUUCCGGUGCCGGAAGAUGAACCGGAACCGUAGUUUGUGAAGUUUGUGUUAGCUACAUUGCCGUUUUCUGCGUAGCUGUUGAAUUCACCACCGCGACGAGUUGAGCCUGAGCUGUAUUUUUUGAACGAGUCGCUGUUUGUGUUUAAACCGUUGGAGUAGUUUUUAAAUGAGUCGACUCCGCCGAGUCGAGCGGAGCCGUAGUUUGAGAAUUUUUUGUUUGAGUAGACGGCGAAAUUUGAGUCUGAUUUGUUUGUUUUUGUGGAUUGGUAAAGUGUGUUUGGGUGGUCGAAGGAGCAGAAUAAGUAUGGUGUGGAGCAGAGGGUAUUAUGGAGAUUUGAUGAGGAUGGUUUUUGUUUGAAGAGGUUUAUGAGGUUUGCGUAGUGUUGUGGUGUGAGAGGUGAAGCUUUGGAAAGAAAGAAAUUUGGGAUCGGAAGUUUGUUAGAGGUUUUUGUGUUCCAAUGGCGAAUGAG